AACGCUGGCGGCGUGCCUAACACAUGCAAGUCGAACGGAGAUAUUAAUGAAGCUUGCGAUUUAAUAUCUUAGUGGCGGACGGGUGAGUAACGCGUGGGUAAUCUGCCCAUAAGUGGGGAACAACAGUUGGAAACGACUGCUAAUACCGCAUACGCUGUCGCAAGACAGGAAAGGUGGCCUCUGAGUAUGCUGCCGCUUAUGGAUGAGCCCGCGUCUGAUUAGCUAGUUGGUGGGGUAAAGGCCUACCAAGGCGACGAUCAGUAGCCGGCCUGAGAGGGUGAACGGCCACACUGGGACUGAGACACGGCCCAGACUCCUACGGGAGGCAGCAGUGGGGAAUAUUGCGCAAUGGGGGAAACCCUGACGCAGCGACGCCGCGUGAGCGAUGAAGGCCUUAGGGUUGUAAAGCUCUGUUUUAAGGGACGAAUGUUACGGGGAGUAAUAUGCCCUGUAAAUGACGGUACCUUAAGAGGAAGCCCCGGCUAACUACGUGCCAGCAGCCGCGGUAAG
rnacentral:rRNA from 1 species